ACAGCAGCAAUAGAAAACUAAAGCAGAUUCCUAGUUUUAAGCACAAGAAACUAAAGGACUAUUUUAAGUAGUAGAAACUUACCAGAAGAGAUUUAUCAAGUAGCUCGCAGAAUCUUCAGGAGGGCUGGAGGGCAAGCCCCAGAGGCUCCCUGUCAGAAGCCCUAACACAGUCUUCCUGCAGACAUGCUUCGCUGACCUGGGGCAGCGCCCUGGGGGGUAUUGUAUCGUUGACAGCAACGCUGGACACCGAGCCUCAACCGCUGUUGCUAGAACUGCAGCCUCUCUGGAAAUGGGAUGUAGAUGCUGCCAUGUAUCCUCCUCUCUAGAAAUAGAUUUGUGCAGUCUCCACUUCUUUAGGUCAUUAACUUCUAAUCAAAACCUGGAGUCUGUAUGUCUGAUUGCUCUGGCUUGGCUGUUAUGUGGGCACCUUAGCUGCAAGGGAGGCUGGAAAAGUGAAUAUCUGGUACAUCUGGCUUCUCUGAUCUGCUGCCAAGGUGGUGGAUUCCUCAUAUAAGAAGGUGAUUCAUAUGCUGGUUACUAAAACGAAUGAGUACCAUCCACCAGAGCACCUACAAUCCCAGAAGAGGAGAGAUCGUCUCUGUCUCCCAGAGUCUGUCUCAAUCUCUGAGAAGGAUUUUGACUGGCCUGGCGUGGGUCUUUUGCUGUCUCCUGUAACCAAUUAUUCUUUAAGAUUGAACCUGUAGUGAUCCUCCAAGCCAUCUUCUCUCCUUUGAGGAUAAUGCUGUGGCCAAAUACUGUGGAUCCUGGACUUUGAAAUGGACAAGCACUCACUAUGCGCCCACACUGUGUAGAAGAUACAACAUCAUGGUCCUGUCCUAUUGAAAGCUCAGUCUAUAUCCAGCUGAGAUCAGGGCUCUGUAACCUGGAUUUUAAGAUGGAUUAAAAAUGAAGUGUGAAAAUAA